rnacentral:rRNA from 1 species
UACGGAGGAUGCGAGCGUUAUCCGGAUUUAUUGGGUUUAAAGGGUGCGUAGGCGGAUUUUUAAGUCAGCGGUAAAAUGUCCGGGCUCAACCCGGGCCGGCCGUUGAAACUGGGGAUCUUGAGUGGGCGAGAAGUAUGCGGAAUGCGUGGUGUAGCGGUGAAAUGCAUAGAUAUCACGCAGAACUCCGAUUGCGAAGGCAGCAUACCGGCGCCCGACUGACGCUGAGGCACGAAAGCGUGG